GGCGAACGCUGGCGGCGUGCUUAACACAUGCAAGUCGAACGGUGAAGGGACCAGCUUGCUGGUUCUGGAUGAGUGGCGAACGGGUGAGUAACACGUGAGUAACCUGCCCCCUUCUUCUGGAUAACCGCAUGAAAGUGUGGCUAAUACGGGAUAUUCUGGGUCUGUCGCAUGGCGGGCCCGGGAAAGAUAUUGCUUCGGUGGGGGAUGGGCUCGCGGCCUAUCAGCUUGUUGGUGGGGUGAUGGCCUACCAAGGCGGUGACGGGUAGCCGGCCUGAGAGGGGGGACGGGUACACGGGGACUGAGACACGGCCCAGACUCCUACGGGAGGCAGCAGUGGGGAAUAUUGCACAAUGGGCGCAAGCCUGAUGCAGCGACGCCGCGUGAGGGAUGGAGGCCUUCGGGUUGUAAACCUCUUUCGCCAGUGAAGCAGGCCUGCUCCUUGUGGGUGGGUUGACGGUAGCUGGAUAAGAAGCGCCGGCUAACUACGUG
rnacentral:rRNA from 1 species